AUGGACAGCAAAGACCUGAUGUCCACCAGCAGUCAUGUGAUUGACUUUGCAAAUGUAUCUCCUGAGGCCCAUCAAGAACCAGGCACUGAACCUGCACGUUUUCCAAAAAUUAUCUUGCACAAGAGUGUGUGCCUCCUCUCACUCAUUCUGAGUUAUCUUCCAGAACAACAAUAUGUUCUUUGCAAAGGAAGGGUUAAGUACUGUCAAACUUCUCCAACUUCCAAGGGUAGGCAGAGCUUGCAUGUAAAUCCUGAGGAUGAACAACAGGUGGAAUGUGGGAGAGAAAAGACAUACUCUGCUUGGAUCUCCAUCUCCAAAAGAAAUCCCUGA
rnacentral:lncRNA from 1 species